GUAGUUAUUCAGUGAGGGACAAUUCGAGAUGGCUACCAUGUGCUUCAAGAAGGCUGGUGAUGCACAUAGAGAAGUGCACAAGAGCUGCCGGACUUCUAGCCACUGCUGACCGUGUCAUCUCAACAAAUUUGGAGCUGAGCAAGGCUUCAUUGCAAACAACAUCAGAGAUUGACAGAGUCCAUGAAAGCUGCUAAUUGCUAUAUCAAAUUAGGUGACUACAAAAGAGCAGGUAUGGUCUAUAUGCAAAAAUGUGGUACUUCCAGUUCUAGACUUGAGGAUGCUGAUGAUUAUUUUGCUAUCGCUGAAUGCUGGUCGGAGGCAGCGGAAGUGUUCUUCAAAGCUAAAUGUUACACCAAGUGUUUCUCCAUGUGCUCGAAAGGAAAACAAUUAUGCAAUCUGGAGGAGGAACAUUCGCUUCAGAAUUCAAAAUCCUUGAGGUUUCUGCAAUUAGAACAAACUAUCUGGAUAAUUAUGCUCAAGAUUAUUUUGAGCGUGUCGUCAUAAAGCAUAGGAUGGCUUUUGUUAAAGCUUUCAGCUCUAUGGAUCAUGUACGGAAAUUCCUAAAUUCUACGAAUCUUGUUGAUGACUGUCGAGUUUAGAGAUGGAAAUGUGUAAUUUCCUAGAAGCUGCAGGAAUAGCAAAGCAUAAAGGAGCUGUCUUACUGGAGGUAGACAUGCUCGAGAAGGCAGAUUUGUUUGAGGAUGCAACAGGGCGUCUCCAUAUCAUUGUGGAUUCUCUGUGGUCUUCAAAUGGUAGAGGUUGGCCUCCCAAAAGAUAUGCAGAAAAGUGACAGUUGCUUGCAAAAGCCAAAGAGAUGGCGAAAAAGGUCUCUGAGUUUCUACUGUUUUGUUUUGCGUGGAAGCUGAUGCACUGUCAGAUGUGAAUAAGUCUCUACUCAGUUCAAAUCGCACAUUGGUUGAGGGCAGAAAUGUCCAAACUAUUGGUUGAACUUGUUGCUUCUGGUUUGAUUCUUGAUGUUCAUCUUCAGUCUCGAGCCUCUGGAUACAAUAUAGAAUUAGGGCCAGGAUCUGAAUAUGAAAACAGUAGUAAAGAUAUGCUGGCCUCUAACCAGAUGUCACCCCAAACUCUGUUUUAUGUUUGGAAUCACUGGAAGUCGAUCAUAAUCAAAGUACUGUCUCAUCUUCGCCACACCGAUGGUCCAGAAUUAAAUGAUUAUGCAGUUAUGUAUGAAGAUCUUUGCGCCAAGUACUUUGGAUUGAGAAAAGAUGGUGAAGUUGACAGAUAUGUGGUGCUUAACAUCAAUGCAAGUUGGCUUUCUAUUGCUGGCAGAAAUUCUUUGCAGCAAGACGGCAACAGAUGUUUAUUGGGUGUCCCUCAGUGUCAUUCAUGUGCUCAGUGUUUCUGGAUGAAUGAGCUGUCUUCUGUUGGUUUCAGUGUACUUAAGAAGUUGGAGUCCGCUGUCGAAAUUUCUCUGAAGCCUGCAUCUUCAUAUACACUGGUGAGAACUAUCCUUAUCAUAAAUGAGAUAGCAAAGUUCUUCGAAAACCCACAGUUCAGUAUUCCAAAAAGUUCUAAGAAGUUCAGAAGCUUUUUUAUUCUCUGUGAGUGUCGCUUCUUUGAGUUAGUUUUCCUUGUGUGGAGAGACGGGACAAUGGGGAGCCUCUUGUGUCUACUUGACUCACCAGCUGCAUAUGAAUUGAUUGCUGAUUCUCUUAGUGCAAAUCUUUGCCCGGUAAAUAAAAAUUUAACUCAUGGGCAUCUUGGGAGAACAACCAUGCUUGUGCUUCAUGCAGCACACUUGGGCGAAGCACAACUUUCAUGACUACUACAGUACCUGGACAAUAGUUCUGAGUAGGCAGAUUUUUUCCGAUAUUUGCAGUGAUUUCUUGACAGUGGUUGUGAUAGAUCCUCGUUUAUCUUCAACUUUAAGCUUGCUCGUGAUUUUACCCUCAAUGUAAAGUGGAAGGAUGAGCUAGACUACAUAUCCCCAACAUGCUAUGUGGGUCUUCUGGAGUGCCUUGGUUUCAUGGCUUUUCGUACUUGAUACAGAAUGAUUUUAUAUGCUGCACGAAAUCUCUGUUGGUCAAUAUACUGGAGUGCCGUACCAGCAAGGUUUACAUUUACACCUACCUGGUAUGUAAAUCGAGACCAGAUUCUGAUCUUAAUCGUUUGGCACACCCAUCAGGCCGUUUCAUAUAUCAGAUGAUUAUGACUAUCUUGCCGACCAAGCAUAUGCUCCAGGAAUGGACACACAAGACUCCAGGUCCUAGCACUUGAUACAGACCAGUCCUCCUGAGACCAGUUGUUGCACUUUAUCCUCUGAUCCUUACUCUUUCCCUGGGGAAUUGCUAUGAGGUCACACAUAACCUUCGGAGGAAUGAAGUCUUUAAGGAUCUACCUUUGGAGUUCUCUCAGAAGAUUGAACAUGCUUUGAAAAUGAGGUUUUGGCUUCUUGCACAUCAAGCAACUUCACAAGAGUGCUUGCUGAUGCACUCGCCGCAAUCGGAGAUCCUAUGGUUGUUAUUGGCCCAACCAAAGGCCCAGUACUCUGUCCGAACUUAAAUGCUUAUAUGAUUAGCAAGGUGGAUUCGUUGUACAGUGUUCUGAAGAUAAUGGCUCUUCUGCGCCCUGAAGAACCAAGUUCUCUAAAGGAAGAGACUCCAUUGCCAGAAAAAUCUGAUAGUUCCCCUAAUGUUAUUUGUGGGAAAAUUCCUUAUGCUGUACAAGAUAGCAAGACAGUGAGUACGAUAGAGAUAGAUUUAACUAAUGAUAGUGCUAUCUGGAAGAAGUUUGAGACUUUUGUACUCAAGAAGCAGGGCCAGAAAGAUGCAUGGGUUGUUAUUCAAUUUCUUAGAGACGCCCUUGCAUGGAAACAGGCCUUCUAGCUGCAAUUGAUGCAGCGACUAAUACACAAACGGUUGAAGAGAUCAGGCACAUCUGCAGUGAGUUCAAAAAACUUUCUGCCAGGUAAGUAAAUGUUAAUUUGGGGCCAACUAUGUUUCUCAAUGGCAGGCAGUACAGAACUACAGAUGCCGUAUUGCAAUUGAUAGGGCUGAGAAAAAAAGCUCGUCUUGCUGUGAAGGAUCUAUACUCAAAGUGGCAAUGUGGUGAGAAGAAACUGCAGCUGGUCCUGCGCUUUCUGGCUGCUGCAAGGUUAUGCAUGGAUGAAAUUUUUUCGAGAGAAAUGUUAAUGAUCGAGAGCAAAAAUGCUGCAGCAGCUGUCCAGCCGCACACCAACGCCAAAGGAUGUUCAGAUGACUAACCUGACCGCACGGGAGAAGCUGCCUCGGCUUUGGCAAAGGCGGCACGGAAGCAGAAGAGCAGCAAGAAGAAAUCCAAGGGCUGUGGCAACAGUUGAGCUGCUGUUGCUGCAGUGCGUGAGCGGUGUAGUUUCUCACCUGCAAAACAUUUGCCUGCAUUGGAGAAACUUGUAGGAGUAUAUCCCAUCACUUGAUCACUGUAAACCCAAACAGAUAGCAGGCGCUAAUUUUUGCUUCGAUGCACUGAUGCAUAUGUCGUUGCCCUGCUGCUACUAGCCGAGCCUGGGCUUUAUGCAAUGGCACGCCCUUUUAGUCGCCUGAAGGAGAGGGAGAUCAGACCAUGGAUUGGUUCUGAGUUUAGUGGCCGUUGUCUGAGUGUUUGUGAAGGAAUGUAAUAAUGAAAAGAUGAGACUAUGUGGCUAGCUAGAGUCGUAAAUGUUUUUCACAUUUCUCUUUUGAACGACGACAAGAAAUGUGUUGCUUUGCAUCUGAUCAAUGAACUCAGGAUUUUCUUUUUCUUUUUGCGAACAAUGAACUCAGGAUUUGAUGGCUGGAAGGUUGGUGGUGUCUCAGCUUUGGUUGCUUCAUUUGAACCUCAGUCGACAUGAAUCACACUUCAGAAAUCAUAUGGCAUCCAGGAUGCACCUUCUGCAAGUGAGGCUGAAUCGGUGGACACAGAACAAAUAAACCACAUUGGACAACCGAAGAGGUGUUUGAACGAAUUGAUGAUCUGGAAGAAUUUGGAGCUAGACGUUGGUCUGAGAUAAUAAAGAAAUAUUUUUCAGCGUCAGUUUGAACUGCGGUCAAUCUUAAGGUUUAUGUUUGGUGCAUUUGUCUCAUGUUGAUGUUACCUUGUCUCGCCGACAUCAAAUUAUUUGCCCUAGGUCCGCUACUAGUACAAUCUAGCGGUGCCUGGAAACAUGAUGUGUGGCUACCUCAUGUUCGCUGAAUAUGUGAGAGUUGUCUCCUAUUUUACUGUACAGAUUGUUCAACAACUGGUGAUA